ensembl:snRNA U6 U6 spliceosomal RNA
UUGCUCACUUCAGCAGCACAUGUACUAAAACUGGAGUGAUACAGAGGACAUUAGCAUGACCUCUGCACAAGGAUGACACACAAAAUCCUAAAAAAAAAAAAAAAAAA